ensembl:lncRNA
GGCUGGGCUUCCAGGAGAGGGCUAUAUGCCAGCAGUGCCAAUGGAGGGGGGCGCUUGGACUGGGCAGACCCAGGAGAGAUGAGUCUUGGGGGCCACUGGGCUGGUUGCCCCACCCAUCUUGACAGCUCUCUGCAGGAUCCCCCCACUCCUGGUCAAGAGGAAGUGGGGGGCGGCAUGGCCCAUCAAGACCCUGGGGGGAGAGGCCACGGCUGCAGCUUCUGCCUGACCCCUACCCGCCAGCCCUCUCGGUUCUCUGUUAUUCACCCUCCACUUCCUGUCACUGGGUCUUUUUGUCACACCCUCUGUCUCUGGUUUUGUGACACUGACAUCUUUCCCACUCGGGGAUAUGGGAAGCCGGUUCUACCGGCACUGCUGUGUAUGAGCUUACAGGCCUCCUGAGAAGAUGGCCUCCUCUUCACAGCUCAGGGCCUAGAGGGGCUGGGGGAGGGGAGUGUGUGUGCUGGGUAUGGGGUCAGAGAAUGCAUUGCAGCGGCUUUGAACUGGUCCUGAGGAAUCUGUAGAAAUUAUUCCAGUGGCGCGAAGGGGAAGGGGAAUUGCAGCAGCGGAAACAGCACGUUCGAAGGCUCAGAGGCUUGGAAAAGCCCUUGUGUGCUUUGAGAACAGGUUUACCAAUCCAGUGGAUGAAUUGAGAAAUGGCAUCCAGUCUUUAAGGCACCAUCAUGUCAUGGACUUCCCUGGUGGCUCAGAUGGUAAAGGGUCUGCCUACAAUUCAGGAGACCCGCGUUCAAUCCCUGGGAUGGGAAGAUCUCCUGGAGAAAGAAAUGGCAACCCACUCGUAUUCUUGCCUGGAAAAUCUCAUGGACGGAGAAGCCUGGUAGGCUGUAGUCUAUUGGGUUGCAAAGAGUUGGACAUGACUGAGCGACUUCACUUUUCUUUCAUGUCAUGUACAGGUGAGGACAUUGGACAAGAUGACCUCAAAGAUCCUUCCACUUCAGGCCCAUGCUUUUCUAGUUGGCUGUUUUCAGAGCUCACCUGCUCUAGGUGUGCCUCUAGUCUCCAUUCAUGAGUCAUGUCUGAAUCCCAGAGAUGUCUAUGGAACAGUUGCCAGAAACCAACAAACCGAGGACUGGAAAGAAAGCGAGCUGAAUGCCAUCCAGAAGAUCAUCUUGCCAGUACUGCUCAGCUUGUAAAAACCAUCUUGGCCAAACCCCUGCGAUUUCAUCCAGAACAAAUAAUAAAAAGCAGUGUGCAAUAUUUCUAGGAUGAGCAUAUUCAUAGUAAAUAUUUUAAGAUCAAUGGCUGCACAAAAUGCAUUUUCCUUGGAGUUUCACUUUUCAAAUGCCUUUGUAUUAAAAGUGCAAUUUAAAUAAAUAUUCAUGGGGAAAGUCACUGAUGUGUUUUACCAUUUACAGCUAAAAUUUGUAAGGUUCCGGGGGGAAAAAAGAUGUAUGAUGCAUAUUUUACCCUCUUAGGAGGAAAGUGGUGAAAAAUGUGUGAUACGCUUUUGUUUUUUCUGACAAUAAACCCUCUGAGGCGGGGAGCUAUCUUUGUACUCCUGCUCUUCUCCAGCCAGUUCCGG